CCCUUAGAUGUUCUGGGCCGCACGCGUGCUACACUGAGUGGAUCAGCGGGUCAGGUUGCGCGAAAGUGUUUCCUAAUCUUGAAAUCCGCUCGUGAUGGGGAUUGACGGUUGCAAUUUUCCGUCAUGAACGAGGAAUACCUUGUAAGCGCGGGUCAUCAUCCCGCGCUGAAUACGUCCCUGCCCUUUGUACACACCGCCCGUCGCUCCUACCGAUUGAGUGGUCCGGUGAGGCUUUGGGAUCUGAGCGGAAAGAGCGUUUCGCUGUUUCUGCUCGGAAAACUCAGUCGAACCUUAUCAUUGAGAGGAAGGAGAAGGCGUAACA
rnacentral:rRNA from 1 species